rnacentral:rRNA from 1 species
AGAGUUUGAUCAUGGCUCAGGACGAACGCUGGCGGCGUGCCUAAUACAUGCAAGUCGAGCGGACGAAUCGAAAGCUUGCUUUUGAUUCGUUAGCGGCGGACGGGUGAGUAACACGUGGGCAACCUGCCCUGUAGACGGGGAUAACACCGAGAAAUCGGUGCUAAUACCGGAUAACACGAAAUGUCGCAUGACGUUUCAUUGAAAGACGGCGCAAGCUGUCGCUACAGGAUGGGCCCGCGGCGCAUUAGCUAGUUGGUGAGGUAACGGCUCACCAAGGCGACGAUGCGUAGCCGACCUGAGAGGGUGAUCGGCCACACUGGGACUGAGACACGGCCCAGACUCCUACGGGAGGCAGCAGUAGGGAAUCUUCCGCAAUGGACGAAAGUCUGACGGAGCAACGCCGCGUGAGCGAAGAAGGCCUUCGGGUCGUAAAGCUCUGUUGUUAGGGAAGAACAAGUAACGCAGUAACUGGCGUUACCGUGACGGUACCUAACGAGAAAGCCACGGCUAACUACGUGCCAGCAGCCGCGGUAAUACGUAGGUGGCAAGCGUUGUCCGGAAUUAUUGGGCGUAAAGCGCGCGCAGGCGGUUCCUUAAGUCUGAUGUGAAAGCCCACGGCUCAACCGUGGAGGGUCAUUGGAAACUGGGGGACUUGAGUGCAGAAGAGGAGAGCGGAAUUCCACGUGUAGCGGUGAAAUGCGUAGAGAUGUGGAGGAACACCAGUGGCGAAGGCGGCUCUCUGGUCUGUAACUGACGCUGAGGCGCGAAAGCGUGGGGAGCAAACAGGAUUAGAUACCCUG